CUUCCGGUCGGCGCCAGCGUUUAAUGGCGGUCCUCGCUUCGAGCUCCGGAGGAGGACUGCUUCGCGAGUUCGGGUCUGACCCGCUACGGCGAGCGGGGGACCCCUAAAAUCACAGGCGCUGAAGCCUGUGAACAAGGAGACUCGGUGGGCACCUUUUGCGCCCCUCGGUACUGUGAAAGAGCCUUUUUAAAGGCUACGGAGCGGCAUCGGGGGUGAGCGCGGUGCUGAGAGUCGCAACCCAGCUCGUGGAGUGAAGCCGCAUCGCCAUGAACGGAGAGCGCCGAUUCCUUCCUGAACCAUAAAUUCGACUGUAAACCCCGUGAGUAAGACGGAGGGAUUGAAUGGGACAUUUAAAUUUAAAUUCUGAAAUUUGGCUGAAAACGGGAAAGGCAUAAAUUAAGGAAGUCUGCCUCCCCGAUCUGCAUGGCAAUUAAAGCAACGAAAGAGCAAAGCUGCAUUUGAAAGAAAACUAUCUUUGAGCUGUCAAACCUGACAUUUGACUUAAACUUCCCCCCAGUAAGCAGGAGAAGGGGGGAAGAAAAUUGGACACUGUUAAUCUGCCUGAAAUUAACUGAGGAAAAAAACAUCUUUCACUGCCAAAUCCCCUGAACGGACUGCCUGAGUAAGGCACUGGGAAAGUGAACUGUCAGUUUAGACUGGAUACAAAGUUGGGGUUUUGUCUGAGACAAAGUUACGGGACUUUAAUGGAAUUACUUUGUUGAACUUGUGACUAUACUGAAAAAGUGCGACAGAAACUUUUACUGUGGACUCUUGGCAUUUUUGUUGAUUGCUCUAUGUUCCUUUGUUUUUUCUCUUUUCACUUGGAUACAAUUAAAUGCUCCCUCUAGAGGGUAUAAAGAGAAACUGUUAUAGUGAAAAAGAAACAGUGGGAUUUUCCACUUGCAAGUCUUUCCUGUGAGAACGACCUUGAGGAUAUGAGUGGUCCAGCAGAAGAGAUAACAACUAGAUCCAAAGCAAAACAGACACAAAAGAAAAGGGGCUCAAUAUCUGGCAUACCACCAGCUGCACAGGAAAAAGUGGCAACAGCAUCUAUGGAUUCAAUGACACAGGCACUGCUCAAAAUAAACCAAUCUUUAGAAGCACUGACAAAGCUAUCUACGGAAAAUUCAAAAAAAUUGACAGAACUGACAGCAAGAUUGGACUUGAAUACUGCAAGUGUAACAUCUAAUACAGAAUCUAUUAAUAAAUUAAUUCAAGAAAGUUCUGAAACACGAAAGAUUGCUGAAAGUGCAAAAAAUACUGCAGAGGAGACAAGGGAGGAGCUUGUGCCGAUUAC